GGUUAAGCGACUAAGCGUACACGGUGGAUGCCCUGGCAGUCAGAGGCGAUGAAGGACGUGCUAAUCUGCGAUAAGCGUCGGUAAGGUGAUAUGAACCGUUAUAACCGGCGAUUUCCGAAUGGGGAAACCCAGUGUGAUUCGUCACACUAUCAUUAACUGAAUCCAUAGGUUAAUGAGGCGAACCGGGGGAACUGAAACAUCUAAGUACCCCGAGGAAAAGAAAUCAACCGAGAUUCCCCCAGUAGCGGCGAGC
rnacentral:rRNA from 1 species